rnacentral:rRNA from 1 species
UACGUAGGGGGCAAGCGUUGUCCGGAUUUACUGGGCGUAAAGAGCGUGUAGGCGGCCAAGCAGGUCCGUUGUGAAAACUGGGGGCUUAACCUCCAGACGUCGACGGAAACCGCGUGGCUAGAGUCCGGAAGAGGAGAGUGGAAUUCCUGGUGUAGCGGUGAAAUGCGCAGAUAUCAGGAAGAACACCAAUGGCGAAGGCAGCUCUCUGGGACGGUACUGACGCUGAGACGCGAAAGCGUGGGGAGCGAACAGG